GGGAGUCACCACACCAGAUACAUCGUACUCAGAUAUGGCUGCUGGAUCAGAAAAGGAAGUGGAAGCCCCCUACCUUUCAAGACGAAGUGGCACUACACCAGGAUGUGAAAGUCCAGCGAAAGAGACCCAAGGGGCCUAGGGGGCAGCACACCCCCAGAAGCCAAGUCUAUUCCAGGCAGUACCAGGGAUUAGGGUCUGGGCUGGAAAAAUCCUGGUGUUUUGAAUAUGUUCAGGUCCAGUUCAGACUCUUGAUCCCACAGCCACUUCUUGAGUGAGCCCUGAAUCUGUGGAGGCUAGUCCAGCAGUUAAUGAGAAGAGCCUGUACUCCACUCAUAAUUAUGGGACCACUCAGAGGCAUGGGUGUCGAGGACUGCCUUAUGCUGAUCAUAAUUACGGAGCCCCUCCUCCUCCGACACCUCCUGCUUCUCCCCCUGUCCAG
rnacentral:lncRNA from 1 species